UAUAAAAAAAUCACCCAAACCUUUAAAAACUACAUUCAAACCAUGAGCAACACCUGUAUUAACAAUUGUCAGUAUAGGUUCCCAACACCUCUAAUAGGACCUUUAUACUCUUAUACCAUAAAUGACUAUGAUUUCUUGUAUGUGAUCGUGAAAACAAAUAGUCUUGCUGUGAUGCCUCUAAUAUUUUUAAACACAAACCUGUAAACCUGCAGGCUCAGCUAAUAAGAGAUAAUUUCGAAAGAGCUCUGAUGGAAACGGAAAUAAGCGAGAUUCCUCAACGGGGUGGCAAAUUGCAACAUGGAAGCUGGCAAUAUUCCAAGGGCCCUGAAUACACAAGUUGAGUGAAAGUUUUUAGAGAAUGAAAACUGUCUGGGCUGGGGAGCGUUACUUUGUCAGGAUUAAAGGAUAGCUACAGUAACUCAAUUGACUACUCUGCAAAAACAGGAAUCUGAGGCUAGCCAGUCGGUUGGAAAUCACAGGAGACUGCAUAACUGCAUGAAUAAGCAGGUUGGGGUCAGAAUGCAGGGGCAGCAAUGUUGCAGCGCACCUGGAGCAGGGAGAGUUAAGGGCCUUGCUCAAUUUUCCCAACAGUGGCAGCUUGGCAGUGCUGAGACUUGAACAUCGACCUUCCGAUCAACAUCCCAGAGCCUUGACCACUUAAGCCUCCACUCCCACGAGUGGUAUCAAUCAUCACAUGGUGAAGUAACAGAAGAAUCAUCCAUCCAUCCAUCCAUUUUCUUUAGCAAUUUUCCUAUAAAUUAUAAAUGUCUUGUUUAAUUGUUUAAUGUCUCUAUGGAUGUUGCACCGUUUGACCUGUGAGACACGACAUCUCGUUCCACUGCAUGUCUCAACAUGUAGCGAAAAUGAUAAUUAAAGAAACUUGAAAUUGAA